rnacentral:rRNA from 1 species
UACGAAGGGGGCUAGCGUUGCUCGGAAUCACUGGGCGUAAAGCGCACGUAGGCGGAUUGUUAAGUCAGGGGUGAAAUCCUGGAGCUCAACUCCAGAACUGCCUUUGAUACUGGCGAUCUUGAGUCCGGGAGAGGUGAGUGGAACUGCGAGUGUAGAGGUGAAAUUCGUAGAUAUUCGCAAGAACACCAGUGGCGAAGGCAGCUCACUGGAACGCGCCUGACACUCAGGGACGAAAGCGUGGGGAGCGAAAGGG